rnacentral:miRNA from 14 species
GCAUUUUUGUGAUUUGCAGCU